rnacentral:rRNA from 1 species
GACGAACGCUGGCGGCGUGCCUAAUACAUGCAAGUCGAACGCAGUGGGGACUGGUGAGUAACCCGUGGGUAACCUCCCAUCAGAGGGGAUAACACUUGGAAACAGGUGCUAAACCGAUACUGAUGGAUGGACCCGCGGUGCAUUAGCUACGUGGUGAGGUAACGGCGCACCAAGGCCACGAUGCAUAGCAGGCCUGAGAGGGGGAUCGGCCAAACGGGGACUGAGACACGGCCCAGACUCCUACGGGAGGCAGCAGUAGGGAAUAUUGGGCAAUGGACGAAAGUCUGACCGAGCAACGCCGCGUGAGUGAAGAAGGUUUUCGGAUCGUAAAGCUCUGUUGGUAGGGAAGCGGUAUCUAACGAGAAAGCAACGGCUAACUACGUGCCAGCAGCCGCGGUAAUAC